rnacentral:rRNA from 1 species
UGAGGGAUAUUGGUCAAUGGGCGCAAGCCUGAACCAGCGACGCCGCGUGGGUGAAGAAGGUCUUCGGAUCGUAAAGCCCUUUUCCCACUGAAGAGGAAGGACGGUAGGUGGGGAAGAAGUCUCGGCUAACUACGUGCCAGCAGCCGCGGUAAAACGUAGGAGACGAGCGUUAUCCGGAUUUACUGGGCGUAAAGCGCGUGCAGGCGGAUUGGAGAGUUGGAUGUGAAGGCUCCCGGCUUAACUGGGAGAGGUCGUUCAAUACUUCCAGUCUUGAGUGCAGUAGAGGGAAGUGGAAUUCCGGGUGUAGUGGUAAAAUGCGUAGAUAUCCGGAGGAACACCAGUGGCGAAAGCGGCUUCCUGGACUGUAACUGACGCUCAGACGCGAAAGCUAGGGUAGCAAACG